AAUUAAAAAUUAAUAAUGUUUUAUUAACAUUAAUAAUAAUAAGUUUUAAAAAAAUAAAUAUUUUAAUAAAAACUGAAAAGGUUAUUUAAUUUUAAUUUAAAAGUAAAUAUUUGUACCUUUAGCAUAAGGGAUUUUUUAAAAAAAUUAAAAAUUUAUUUUUUUCGAAAUCAAUUGAUCUAUUUUAUUUUUAUAAUAUAUAUUGCAAAAUAUUUUUAAAAAAUUAAAUAGAAGUGAAAUUCUUUUCAAAGUUGAGGUAUCUAAUUUUAAUAAAAAACAAAAAGUUUUCUUAUAUAUAUUAUUAUUAUUAUAUAAAUUUAUAAGUCAAUGUUUAAGGGAUAAGCUUUAAAUAUAAAUUAUAUAAAUUAAUAAUUUUCUUGAAAAAGAAAUAAAAUUUUUCUAGUAUUGUUAUAAAUAAUUAAUAUUAUCUAAUUUAAAUAAUAAUUUUUUAUUGAAAUUUGAAAAAUAUAUUUUAGAUAUAAAUAUGAAAAUAUUAGUAAAAUAAUUUUUUAUAAGUAAAUAAUUUUAUACUAUAAUAUGAAUUAAAAUCAAAUAAAUUUAAAGAAUUCAGCAAAAAAUUUUUUUGACUGUUUAUUAAAAACAAUGUAUUUAGAUUUUAAUAAUUAAAUGUAAAUCCUGCUCAAUGAACAUUUAAAUUGCUGUAGUAUUUUGACUAUACAAAGGUAUUGUAAUAAGACUUUAAUUGGGUGCUAAGAGAAUGGAUUUUCAAAAAAAUUCUUUUUUAAAUUUAAAAAUUAAAGUUAUUUUUAUUUGUGAAGAAACAAUAAUAUAAAUUAAAGACAAGAAGACCCUAUGAAUUUUGAUCGAUUUAAUAUUAAAUUUAAUAUUUAAUUCGAUUUAAUUGGGGCGAUUAAAAAAUAUUAAAAACUUUUUAAAAUAAAAAGAUCCAUUAAUAAUGAUUACAUGAAAUAAAUACUCUAGGGAUAACAGCGUAAUAAUUUUAGAUAGCUCUUAUAGAAAAAAUAGUUUGCGACCUCGAUGUUGGAUUAGGAUACUUAUUUAAUGAAGAAGUUAAAAUAAGAAGUUUGUUCAACUUUUAAAAUCCUACAUGAUCUGAGUUUAGACCGAUGUGAAUCAGGUUGGUUUCUAUCUUAAUUAUAAAAAUAUUUUUAAUUAGUACGAAAGGAAUUUUAAAAAAAUAUUAAUUAUUAAUGAUUUAACAGUUUUUGCAUCAAUUUUUGGAAUU
rnacentral:rRNA from 1 species